UUGGCAUUGGGUUUACAGCCGAACACACGUCCACCUUGUCCGCGUCUCUAUUCGUUUUCGGCCUAGCUACCAUUUCUGUACUGACUACUGACCUGUCCACACAUACGAAAAGCACACACAUACGUACACGCACAUGCUCAAGACACACACGCAGACACACGUACAGACGUGCAGACACAACACACACGCAGACACACGUACAGAUACACCUACAGACACACGCGCAGACACACCUACAGACACACGCGCAGACACACCUACAGACACACGCGAGGACUAAGUGCCCUUUUUCUCGGGUAGCCGUAGCAUGCAAAGUGUUUCAGCGGCAGUGUGCAAAAAUGUGUUUUCCCCCAACAUGCACCCUCCAUACGACAACCAAUGCGUCAAACACGUAACACGUUCGUUUAGGCUGGUAUAUGCCCUUAAAUGCCCGCAGGCCAAGGGCAAUGACACACAGGUAUGUACACCCAACUUUACGUUGCCGCAAGUGAAAUAACCAUCCUCAUCUGCACCUCAAAAGUUACAUGUUUUCCCUGCUGCUGCCUUCUCCGAGACCAUACGGUGCCAACUUCAUUAGCACAGUGCAAGUACCCCGAAUAUGCUGAAUGGCCGAAGCGAAGGAAAGGACCAUUUUCGUGGAAGCUUCAAAAGCACUGUGGAGUAGCAGCAUCCUUAAUGGCGAAAGAGGGAACCGCCAAUAUCACUUGAAGUAGUAGGCCAGGGACAGCAAUGCGAAUAGUGCGAGGAGCUGCACUCCCAACAGCCAAUGCGAGGUUGCACCGGCGGUCACAAAGUUUACCUGAACGAGCGGGUUGAGUUGGUUGGAACGUUUGGAGGGGUGGUUAGGGCCAGGUGGUUAGGGCGUCAUCAGCAACUGGCGUUUAGGGCCCGUGCCGGUUCGCGUACAAGCAUGAAGCAAGCUCAGAACUCUACGCAGAAACAAGCUAAUGUACGGCAUACGGUUGCGGAAACACGGCCCUUUAGAAGGAGUCAGUUGGCAGAUCGGUUGGUUAUUAGUUUGUCAGUAUGACAGGUGCAGCGGUUUGCCGUGCACCUGGUGUGUCGAUGCGUGCCGAUCAGCAGCCUCCCUUGCAGGUCAUUCCAGCCUUUAGGCAUAUGCACUGUUCUCAACAGGAUACCCAAAAUCCCUUAUGAUCAACUAAUCAAAAUGCGCUUCUGUGUUCUGUGGCCAAGGUGACGAGGGGAGAAUGCCUUGGUUUAUUAUCCUAGGGUUUAACCUUGCUAAUCCCAGCAAGGGAUUUCCGAAACUGUACAUCGAAUGCCCACAAACCGCGUACGUCUCCAUUACGUGCAUUACUACCCACUUGUGCCACUGACAACAUCAGCGCCAUGGCGGAGAACGGAUCGAAGUUCAGAGAGAAAGGGUGGC
rnacentral:lncRNA from 1 species